UGAAAAAAUGCGGCAUCCAUUUUGAAAUGUCAACGCUGUUCAUUACAGACCAGUCAUCAGCGGUGUAAGGCGUAAGCGUCAUGCUCUGCUUUCUUUAUUCAAAGUUGGACGAAAAAUCCAUAAGUUAGUGAAAUUUUGUUUAGUAAACUAUGAUUAGUACGUUAAUACUGUUCCUGACGUCGGUUUAUACAAAACUCCUAGCAGCAGUGAAUUUUCCGGAUUUUGUGAAGGAAUUCAGUUAUUAAUAGAUUGUUGUUGAUGCACGAUUUUUGGAAUCAAGGAUAGUCUGUUCCCGAUAAAUUUACUAAACUGCAGAUAGCUGUCGAGUUUCUUUUCGCCGUUCCUGCCACCCACCGUACACGAUUUUCGGCACCAGGAGCGGGUUGUAUGUUGUAAUGUAUCCUUACAAUAUAGCACUGAUACCGUGUUUAAUUAAAAUAAAAGGUUUUAUCUGCUUUAUCGUUCAAAUUGAGUUUUAUUUAUUUUCAUUUAUCGCAAAAACAUGACAUCAUUGGAUUUUUAAACUAUUGUUUCGUUUACAUUUCACAUCGAUAAAAAAUACCUAUUUUUGAGUAUUUUCACUCAAGGCAGCAUUAGGUAAAAAUUACCUACUGGUAGAAUUCGGUGCGGUAACCCAAAUUUGAGUACUAGGCUAUUUACUCAAAUUUGGGGUAACGCACAAAGGUGCCGAGUUGGGUAGGAAGAACUCAAAUUUGAGUACUUCGUUCUCUCCGUG